rnacentral:rRNA from 1 species
UUCGCAAUGCCCGAAAGGGUGACGAAGCGACGCCGCGUGGAUGAAGAAGGCCUUCGGGUUGUAAAAUCCUGUCAGGAGUUAAGAAAUAUAAAUUUGAUAAUACCAAAUUUAUUCGACAAAGGCUCCAGAGGAAGCCACGGCUAACUCUGUGCCAGCAGCCGCGGUAAUACAGAGGUGGCAAGCGUUGUUCGGAAUUAUUGGG